UACAGAGGGUGCAAGCGUUGUUCGGAAUUAUUGGGCGUAAAGCGCGUGUAGGCGGCUUUGCAAGUCGGGUGUGAAAGCCCUCAGCUCAACUGAGGAAGUGCGCCCGAAACUGCAGAGCUUGAGUACCGGAGAGGAUGGUGGAAUUCCCCAAGUAGAGGUGAAAUUCGUAGAUAUCGAGAGGAACACCGGUGGCGAGGGCGGCCAACUGGACGAACACUGACGCUGAGACACGAAAGCGUGGGGAGCAAACAGG
rnacentral:rRNA from 1 species